UACGUAGGGGCAAGCGUUGUCCGGAUUAUUGGCGUAAAGAGCGUGUAGGCGGCCAGGUAGGUCUGCUGUGAAAACUGGAGGCUCAACCUUCAGACGUCGACCCAAACCCCUGGCUAGCAGUCCGGAAGAGGAGAGUGGAAUUCCUGGUGUAGCGGUCGAAAUGCGCAGAUAUCAGGAAGAACACCCGUGGCGAAGGCGGCUCUCUGGGACGGUACUGACGCUGAGACGCGAAAGCGUGGGAGCGAACAGG
rnacentral:rRNA from 1 species